rnacentral:lncRNA from 1 species
UCAAGUGUGAUGAUCAAGUAAGUUUAAUGGCUAAGUAAAUAAUGUGGAGGCCAAGUUAACUUAAUGGCCAAGUGUUGUGGUGACCAAGUAAUUCAUGGGAGGAGCAAGUUAACUUAAUGUCUAGGUAAUGAAUAGUAAGGAGGUGAAUAAGGAGGUGGGUUGGAUUAAUGACAUUUAUGCCCUAACCUAGCAACUCCUAUAAAUAGCAAGCUUGGUUUUCAUUUUGUUGGUUGUUCAUUUCAUCUAACAAGUUGAG